rnacentral:rRNA from 1 species
AGGGUGUAAACGCUGCAGACUUGGUGUUGGAGGCCCUUUGGGGGCAUUCAGUGCCGGAGAGAAGUUGUUAAGUCUGCUACUUGGGGAGUACGUCCGCAAGGAUGAAACUUAAAGGAAUUGGCGGGGGAGGCACCGCAACGGGAGGAGCGUGCGGUUUAAUUGGAUUCAACACCGUAAAACUCACCAGGGAAGACUGUUACAUGAAGGCCGAGAUGAAGACUCUGCUAGAUUUUCAGAGAGGUGGUGCAUGGCGUCAGUGACU